UUCGCACUGCCGCCUCCGCGCGCUCACACCGCCGCACCUCCUCGCCGUUUCCGCGUUUCCUCCCACAACGGCGACCCCGAUGCCACGGCCGGAUGCCAAAACCGGCAACCCGGAGCGCGCGCCGUCGCAUAUAAGGAUGCCCCGUUUCCCUAGCUCUAGCCCCAGCCCGCGCCUCCUCCGACCCUCACCCGCCGCCGUCUCUCGAAACCCUACCCCACUCCGGCGGAUAGAUCCGGCACGUCCUGCCCUCUCCGCCGCCAGUCGCCAGAGAUGGCCGCCCGCAACUCAUCCGCGUUCGCCUCCGACCCGGUCCACCAGGCUGCCAUGGCCGUCCCCAAGUCGCCCGUGCUAGCCGCCGACCCGCUCCACCAGGCCGCCGAGUCGGGGGGGAUUGACGGCGUUCCUGGAGCGCUCCCGACCGAGCAAGGGGUGCCACCCCCGCCGCUGCAAGGCACGCCUGUGAUGAAGACGGCCCCGCAGCAGGGCGCCUACAUGGCGGCGCAGACGCCCCCGCAAGGCUCCCCCGUGACGCAUCCGGUGAUGCAAGGGGCAAACACGGUGGUGCCGAUUUCCCUGCGGGAGCCGGUCAUUACCGUGCCCCCGCAAGGCAGACCUGUGAUGGCACCUCUGCCUUUCCCUGCCGUUCCUCCAUCCUUCAUCCAUGAUGCCGGAUACAUGAUGGGGCAAUCACUGUUGCCGGCCGGCCCUCAACCCAUGGCGGGGCUGCAGCCUCCACCUGCCGGAUACAUGAUGGGGCACCCGCUGUUGCGUGCAAGCCCUUUACCGAUGACGGCGCUGCAUCUCCCACAGGCCGUACACAUGAUGGCACGGCCGCCUUUGCCCGCUGGCCCCCCUCCUCUCAAGCGUCACCGCCCUGACUACUUCGACAUGCCUUUUGGACCGCGGAUGACUGGUUGUGAGCAGGAAAUGGCUGGAUUUGAUGAAUCAAUGGGACUGCCUUAUGGGCCUUACAUAAACAAUGAGAUGCCUUCUAUUGGUUCUUAUGAACCAUAUCUUCCUUCAGACGCAUCAAACACCCUACAUGUUGAAGGUUUCCCGCCCAACUGUACUAGACGGGAACUUGCACAUAUAUUUCGCCCUUUUACUGGGUUCUGUGCAGUAAGGCUGGUCAACACAGGAUAUAAUAGUCGACAUGUAAUAGCUUAUGCUGACUUUGAAACUCCUGCCCAAGCCUUCUCUGCCAUGAAGUCUCUGCAAGGCUAUUUGUUUGACAUGCAUGACCGAUACUCAGUCAAAUUGGACCUCCAGUUCCUUCCUGGUCCGUCCAAGGUCUGCUGCCUUUUGUAGUUCUGUAUGCUAAUGGGAAACCAUAAGAUGAAGGCCCUUGUGUUUUGCUGAGGCAUCAAGGUCAAGAUCAUAUUUCUCUGAAAUGCGUUGAAAGGAUUCUGACGAUAUUGUCGUUGGUGAUGUUAGAGUCGCUGAAGAGUUAAUUGCGUUAGACAUUGCUAUUCACCCAAGAUAUGAAAAGCAAAUGAGACCACAUCAGUUGGCAGGCAUGUAUUACCGCAGAAAAAGGAAGAGUUCCAACCCCAUCAAUAAUCUUUCACUUACUGCAAAUACCAUUCGCAGUUCUGGAUGUGGCAGUGUUACCGAGGAGUGGGACAGCUUGUAUGCUCAGAAGGUCCAAUUGUUAACUUUCCUUUCUACUCUGCCCGAGCCCGUUCUGAGUUAUGGGCCGAGUGUUAAAACUAAUAUGGCCAAUUCUAUUGAGCACAGAGAACAGAAAAACAACAACAACAACAACAACAACAACAAAGCCUUUAGUCCCAAACAAGUUGGGGUAGGCUAGAGGUGAAACCCAUAAGAUCUCGCAACCAACUCAUGG